UAUUGUUGGUGUUCUUAACUCAAGAAAAAUAUUUUCAAUUAUUUAUUCAUUGAAUUUUGAAAACCCGGCUAAGUGAAUCAUAGAAUAUUAAGCACUACACCAUGACUUAAGAUUAGCUUCACGAGACCUAUUAAGAAUAGAAUUUCUUGUAGGCUUUGUGACCAGGGGGAUUAGCGCUGCUUUCCCAAGACAGGUUUUUAUGUGUAUGAUCUUCAGGCUUUGCCUAUCCAGGUUGGCUGGCUGGUGCUGACGGGACGGAGCUGAGGCUAGAGUUAAAAUUCAUAUGUUAGACUUCCGCUGUAGCAAUUACUCUUAUACAUCUUUUGUUUUCUCAACUUAAGAUGACUUCAUGUCGAGCUUAAAUUUGAAAUUCUACUUUUAUGCUAAUGAAUGUUGGUUGUCAGAAACAUGAAACAAAACUUGUGAUCCAAAGGGGCAUAGCCCGACUUUCUAUCCUAUUUCGGGUUUUUACAAGGUUGUUCCUUGUUUAUUUCUA